rnacentral:rRNA from 1 species
UACGACUACAUAUCAGGCAUAUCAAUAAGCGGAGGAAAAGAAACUAACUAGGAUUCCCUUAGUAACGGCGAGUGAAGCGGGAAGAGCUCAAAUUUGAAAUCUUCAAGGUUUUACCUUGACGAAUUGUAGUUUAAAGAAGUGUUUUCUGUUGGUGUUUUGGUAAAAGUUCUUUGGAAUAGGACAUCAUAGAGGGUGGGAAUCCCGUAUUUGACCGUUACUUUCCAGCUGUGUGAUACACUUUCAAAGAGUCGGAUUGUUUGGGAAUGCAGUCCAAGAUGGGUGGUAAAUUUCAUCUAAAGCUAAAUAUUGGCGAGAGACCGAUAGCGAACAAGUACCGUGAGGGAAAGAUGAAAAGAACUUUGAAAAGAGAGUUAAACAGUACGUGAAAUUGUCAAAAGGGAAGCGUUUGACACCAGUGUUGUUUAGUUGAAAAUCAAUUCAAUAGUUUUUGAUUCUAAGUAGUAUUGACUUCAUCAGCUUGCUGCUUUCUUCUCAGGAAAUUAUUGAAUGCACUUUUCAGUUAACAAGUCAACAUCAAUUUCUUUUGUUGUAAAAGGGUAAGAGGAAGGUGGCUUGCGCUUCGGCUCAAGUGUUUAUAGCCUUUUAUCUCUGCAAUCGGAGAGAUUGAGGUCUGCAGCGUAGAUCCUUCGGGGUUAGAUACAUUGGUGCUAAGCUAUAGCCUUGUAUAGACAACUUGUUGACUAUGCUCAGUCAUGUAGCUUACUCGCUGAUGCUAUUUUACCUACGCUUAGGAUGUUGAACGCGCACAGAGUCUC